AUCGGGCGAGAACACCCGGCGAAUUUAAGCAUAUUACUAACCGGAGGAAAAGAAACCAACAGGGACGUCCUCAGUAGCGGCGAGCGAAGCGGACGAUGCCCAAACCGAACCGCGGUUCCCGAGGGGCCGCGGAGUGUGGAGAGGAUGAGCUCGCGAGGGGGGCGGGACGGGUUCCAAUCCGUCUGGAAGGGCGGAGGCACGGAGGGCGAUUCCCCGUACGUGCUCGGUCCGUCCCCGACGAGCGAACGCAUCGGAGAGUCGGGCCGCUUGAGAGUGCAGCCCGAAUGGGGUGAUAGGUCUCAUCCAAGGCUAAGUACGUGGGAGACGCCGAUAGCGAACAAGUACGGCGACGGAAAGGUGAAAAGAACCUCGAAAGGGGGGGUCAAAAAGCGCUCGAAAUCGUAGAGGGGG
rnacentral:rRNA from 1 species